rnacentral:rRNA from 1 species
UUGAAAGGGAAACGAUUGAAGUCAGUCAUACCAACGGGAAAUCAACCUUUUGAGCUUGGUCUCGUGGGUUUUGAAGAGUUUCAAAGCCUUCGGAUUCGCGGGAUUGGGAUCUCUUGGUGUACUUUUUCGUACGGUUAGUCAACAUCGGUUUUGAAUGUCAUAAAUGACUGGAGGAAUGUAGCUUCGAUCUCGUAUUGAAGUGUUAUAGCCUUUGGUAGAUGUGAUGUUUGAGACCGAGGAUUGCAACGGAUACCCUUCAGGGCUAUUCGUCUGAUCUCUGAUACGUUGCCUUGAUGUUAAAAGCUUGCUUAUGAUGUUAGGGUAUUACGGUCAAAAGGUUAGAACGAAUUACAUUCGUUAAGGAUGUUGACGUA